UUUUUUUUGCUUAUUUUAAUUUAUUCAAUUGGUAAUCACCCAUUCCAAUGCAUGGAUUAAAUUAAUCAGAGCAAACAAUUGGAAGUAUACAAGCACCAGAAAACAAACGAUUACAAUUGUUUAAUACAAGAAGCAUAUAACAAACAAUUACAAUUUGUUUAUACAAGAAACGGCUAGCAAUUGCAACAACUACGCAUACUCGAUCAUAGAACACAUAAAACUAUUCAAUUUUUACUAAGGAAUAGACGGAUCUGAACCUUGGCAAACCUAGAAGAUACACAAUGGUGCAGCGGGACUUGAUAGAAAACCUAAGCUCGUUGAUUCGAUGUGAAUGGUCAAACAAAGGGGUGUCUGCAGUUCGUUGAUUCUUGUGAAUACCGAACAAAGACGAACUUGAAAGUCGUUAAUUCCUUAGAAUAGCCGAGAUUCAAGAGAGAAGGGAAGCUUAAAGCUCUGUUUUAAAUUCAAUAAUAAGUUAAGUUCUGCAACUACAAGAGAGUCUUUAUAUAGAGGCGACAAGAAGAAAGAAAACCCUAACAUGUUUGGGAAAAGGAACCGACUAAGACGUAGCUUAAAGCCCAAGUAAGUAAAAGAAGAGAAAUAAAAGAAAGCCCAAGUAGAAGAUUAAAAACAGAGUAUAGGUAUAAGGAUGCGCUGCAUCAGUUCUCCCCGGGUAAGAGAAGAUUUGCCUCUGAAUCUGGAACGUCAUUCUCGACAUGGUACUUAGAUAAAUACUUGACAUUGAAGACGUUGGAGGUGCGAAUGUGCUCCGGAAAGAGAAGACGAUACGCAUUUGGGUUGAUACGCUCAAGAACCUCAACUGGUCCAAUCUUCCUUGAACGUAGCUUGUUGUACUCAUGAGCCGGCAUGCGAUCUCUGGUCAACACCACCCACACGAGAUCUCCGGGAUCGUACAGUACCUCUCUCCGCUUGGUAUCAACUUUACCUUUGUAUUUUGUAGCAGAAAGCUCCAACAGUUUCUUGGCCUGUUCAUGUGUAUCUCGUAAAGAAUUAACAAAGUCCACCGCCUGACCAUGCAUUCGUCGUGUGUCAUGUAAAGCAGUUAAAUCGAGAGGACCACGAGGCAAGAUACUAUACAAGAUCUAAAACGGACUGAAACUCGAGCUCGGAUUUGAUGCAUGAUUAUGAGCAAACUCGGCUUGACAUAAGCGCGUCUCCCAUGAACGAAUAUUAUCCCUAACCAAACACCGUAACAUAUUACCCAAUGCUCGAUUUGUCACCUCUGUUUGACCAUCCGUUUGAGGGUGGUAGGCGGUGCUCAUAUCCAAACUUGUAUGCAACAUCUUCCAUAGUGAACGCCAAAAAUGACUUAGAAAUCGUGUGUCGCAAUCCGAGACGAUGGAGGUCGGUAAACCAUGAAGACGAUAUAUCUCUUGGAAGAACAAUUGAGCGACUCGCACCGCAUCCGUUGCGCGCUUACGCGGAACAAAGUGUGCCAUUUUAGAGAAGCGAUCAUCUACAACAAAAAUAGAAUUAUUACCUUUUUGAAUCCUAGGAAGACCCAAAAUAAAAUCCAUACUCAAGUCAGUCCAUGGUUGCGUUGAAUUGGAAGAGGAAGAUAUAACCCAGCGUUGGUUGCUUGACCCUUUGCUAAUUGACAAGCACGACAAUGUUCCACAAACCUCUCAACAUCCCGUCGAAGCAUUGGCCAAAAAUAUGUAGCUGAAACAAAUUGAAGAGUGCGAUCCCGACCCACAUGUCCUUCGGAGUGGAGCUCUUGAAUGACCCUUAAUCGCGAACUGCAAUUCGGUAUACACAAUUGGAUCCCACGGAACAGAAAACCGUCCGUAAGUGAGUAAUCUGUUCUUCCACUAGCUGCAACAUCUGCCAAAAUGGGACUAAAAAAGGGGUCUGCCUUAUAUAAUUCAGAAAAAGAAGCAAACCCUGGUACCGCCACAUGCAUCGUUGUUAACAACGAAUGACGUCGGCUUAACGCAUUAGCCACUCGAUUCAAUUUACCCGCUUUAUGUCGUAUAGAUAACUUGAAUUGUUGUAAGAAAGCAAUCUAUGAUGCAUGAUCAGAUGACACCUUAUCUUG
rnacentral:sRNA from 1 species